rnacentral:rRNA from 1 species
GCUGGCGGCGUGCCUAAUACAUGCAAGUCGAGCGAACAGACGAGGAGCUUGCUCCUCUGCCGUUAGCGGCGGACGGGUGAGUAACACGUGGAUAACCUACCUAUAAGACUGGGAUAACUUCGGGAAACCGGAGCUAAUACCGGAUAAUAUAUUGAACCGCAUGGUUCAAUAGUGAAAGACGGUUUUGCUGUCACUUAUAGAUGGAUCCGCGCCGCAUUAGCUAGUUGGUAAGGUAACGGCUUACCAAGGCGACGAUGCGUAGCCGACCUGAGAGGGUGAUCGGCCACACUGGAACUGAGACACGGUCCAGACUCCUACGGGAGGCAGCAGUAGGGAAUCUUCCGCAAUGGGCGAAAGCCUGACGGAGCAACGCCGCGUGAGUGAUGAAGGUCUUCGGAUCGUAAAACUCUGUUAUUAGGGAAGAACAAAUGUGUAAGUAACUAUGCACGUCUUGACGGUACCUAAUCAGAAAGCCACGGCUAACUACGUG